rnacentral:rRNA from 1 species
UGAACGCUAGCGACAGGCCAACACAUGCAAGCGAGGGGCAGCACAAGGAGCAAUCUGAGGUGGCGACCGGCGCACGGGUGAGUAACACGUAUGCAACCUGCCUGUAAGCGGGAAUAACCGUUGAAAGACGGACUAAUACCGCAUAAUACUAAAUUACUGCAUGGUAAUUAUUUAAACAUUUAUGGCUUACAGAUGGGCAUGCGCAUGAUUAGCUAGUUGGAGAGGUAACGGCUCCCCAAGGCAACGAUCAUUAGGGGUUCUGAGAGGAAGGUCCCCCACACUGGUACUGAGACACGGACCAGACUCCUACGGGAGGCAGCAGUGAGGAAUAUUGGUCAAUGGACGAGAGUCUGAACCAGCCAAGUCGCGUGCAGGAAGAAUGUCCCUAUGGAUUGUAAACUGCUUUUGCAGGGGAAUAAAGUGCAUCACGUGUGAUGUUUUGUAUGUACUCUGCGAAUAAGGAUCGGCUAACUCCGUGCCAGCCGCGGC